UGCACUGUAGUUGCCAUCUUGAAAUUCUUAAUAGUUUUAUCUUUGACUUUGUGUUGUGUAGAUGAAGCUGAUGGGACAAUAGAGCGUAUGCCAGGGGCUUAGUCUCAGUUCAUGUGGUCCCCCCUUCUGCUGCCUCCUUGCCUUUCUGGCAUGGGUUUCAGGUCCCAGCUCUCCAUCCACUGAUGCCCCUGGCCUGGCCAGGCCUCUCUCUUCCUACUCCCACUCAGCAACCACCGCUGCCCUCUCUGUCCUUAGGGGGUCUUCAUGUGGGCAUGGAGAGGUUGAGAUAGUGUGCUUUUGCGGCACGACAUCUCAGGGUGGAGCAUGGCAGUGGCCAUCCCUGACCCAGGCUGGCAGUGCCAUGGAGCAUUAGGCAAUAGGCUACAUGGGGAGCAUGCUUUUUACCCACCUCUGGACCAAGGGUGUCCUUGUGCCAUGGUUGUAAUGCCCUUGGGGGAUGUCCAUCUGCCAUGGGCUGGGGCAGCGAGUUGUGGGAAGGGAGACCUGGUUUGACUUCCAUGCCCUCGGAAGGGCAGAUGCAUGGCCCAGUGGCUGGUCAGAGCGGG
rnacentral:lncRNA from 1 species